GAUGAACGCUGGCGGCGUGCCUAAUACAUGCAAGUCGAGCGACCGGACGAGAAGAUUGCUCCCCUGAUAUUAGCGACGGACGGGCGAGUAAGAAGUAGAUAACAUACUUAUUAGUCUGGGAUAAUUACGGGAAACAGCAGACAAUAAUAGCUCAUAUUUUGUACCGCAUGAAUCAAAAGUGCUUGACGGCUUUCCUGACUCUAUUAGACGAUUUCGCGUUGCAUUAGCUAGUUGGUAAGGUAACGGCUUACCAAGGCUACGAUGCGUAUCCGACCUGAGAGGAUGAUCGGCCACACUGGAACUGAGACACGGUCCAGACUCCUACGGGAGGCAGCAGUAGGGAAUCUUCCACAAUGGGCGAAAGCCUGACGGAGCAACGCCGCGUGAGUGAAGAAGGUCUUCGGAUCGUAAAGCUCUUUUAUUAGGGAAGAAAAGAAGCAGAUGUAACUGUGCACGUCUUGACGGUACCUAAACAGAAAGCCACGGCUAACUACGUG
rnacentral:rRNA from 1 species